AAAUUUGGCAACCUCCAGGCCUGUAGAGACACCAUCUCAGCAUUUGGACAGGAGCCAUGGAAAGGAGACUUGAAAUUGUGCUAGGCCUUCUGUGGGUGCAGGUUUGCUGGGUGACAGGGAUGCAGGUGGAGCAGCGUCCUUCAGUCCUGAGUCUCCAGGAGGGUGCCAACUCUGUGAGAUGCAAUUUUUCUACCACCACAACCAAUGUGCAGUGGUUCCAGCAGAAUUCUAGGGGCAGUCUCAUCAGUCUGUUCUACAUGGCUCCAGGGACAAAGGAGAAUGGGAGGUUAAAGUCAACAUUUGAUUCUAAGGAGCUCUAUACCACCCUGCACAUCAGAGAUGCCCAACUGGAAGACUCAGACACCUACUUCUGUGCAGGGAGGGCACAGUGCUCCGAGCCAGCCUGCAACCUGGUACCAAACCACAGGUGGGUCUGCAGCUGCAGCCCUCAUCGUGGUGAGAAGCUGCAGGAAUGUUUGCACAUCUGUGGGUUUCCUGGUUUAAGCUGUAUCACCUUCAUCUCUGCUAACAUUAGACAAUCGUGGACUUUAAUUUCACCUAGCUUUUAACCUUUUUCCUUUCUG